AACGAACGCUGGCGGCAUGCCUAACACAUGCAAGUCGAACGAGACCUUCGGGUCUAGUGGCGCACGGGUGCGUAACGCGUGGGAACCUGCCCUUAGGUUCGGAAUAACUCCCCGAAAGGGGUGCUAAUACCGGAUAAUGUCUUCGGACCAAAGAUUUAUCGCCUUUGGAUGGGCCCGCGUUGGAUUAGCUAGUUGGUAGGGUAAAAGCCUACCAAGGCGACGAUCCAUAGCUGGUCUGAGAGGAUGAUCAGCCACACUGGGACUGAGACACGGCCCAGACUCCUACGGGAGGCAGCAGUGGGGAAUAUUGGACAAUGGGCGAAAGCCUGAUCCCGCCAUGCCGCGUGAGUGAUGAAGGCCUUAGGGUUGUAAAGCUCUUUUACCCGGGAUGAUAAUGACAGUACCGGGAGAAUAAGCUCCGGCUAACUCCG
rnacentral:rRNA from 1 species